rnacentral:tRNA from 1 species
UUAAUUAGCUGACUUUACUAGAGAAUCGUAUAAAGGAAGUACGGAGGGUUUUGAUCUCUCAGGUGCAGGUUCAAUUCCUGCUUUUCUAA